GGCCUACACAUGCAAGUCGAACGGUAGCACAGAGAGCUUGCUCUCGGGUGACGAGUGGCGGACGGGUGAGUAAUGUCUGGGAAACUGCCUGAUGGAGGGGGAUAACUACUGGAAACGGUAGCUAAUACCGCAUAACGUCGCAAGACCAAAGAGGGGGACCUUCGGGCCUCUUGCCAUCAGAUGUGCCCAGAUGGGAUUAGCUAGUAGGUGGGGUAACGGCUCACCUAGGCGACGAUCCCUAGCUGGUCUGAGAGGAUGACCAGCCACACUGGAACUGAGACACGGUCCAGACUCCUACGGGAGGCAGCAGUGGGGAAUAUUGCACAAUGGGCGCAAGCCUGAUGCAGCCAUGCCGCGUGUAUGAAGAAGGCCUUCGGGUUGUAAAGUACUUUCAGCGGGGAGGAAGGUGUUGUGGUUAAUAACCACAGCAAUUGACGUUACCCGCAGAAGAAGCACCGGCUAACUCCGUGCCAGCAGCCGCGGUAAUACGGAGGGUGCAAGCGUUAAUCGGAAUUACUGGGCGUAAAGCGCACGCAGGCGGUCUGUCAAGUCGGAUGUGAAAUCCCCGGGCUCAACCUGGGAACUGCAUUCGAAACUGGCAGGCUGGAGUCUUGUAGAGGGGGGUAGAAUUCCAGGUGUAGCGGUGAAAUGCGUAGAGAUCUGGAGGAAUACCGGUGGCGAAGGCGGCCCCCUGGACAAAGACUGACGCUCAGGUGCGAAAGCGUGGGGAGCAAACAGGA
rnacentral:rRNA from 1 species